AUUGAACGCUGGCGGCAUGCCUUACACAUGCAAGUCGAACGGAUUGAAGGGGCUUGCUCCUUCAGUUAGUGGCGAACGGGUGAGUAAAGCAUCGGAACGUACCCAGUCGUGGGGGAUGACGUAGCGAAAGUUACGCUAAUACCGCAUACGAUCUGAGGAUGAAAGCGGGGGAUCGCAAGACCUCGCGCGAUUGGAGCGGCCGAUAUCAGAUUAGGUAGUUGGUGGGGUAAAGGCCUACCAAGCCAACGAUCUGUAGCUGGUCUGAGAGGACGACCAGCCACACUGGAACUGAGACACGGUCCAGACUCCUACGGGAGGCAGCAGUGGGGAAUUUUGGACAAUGGGCGCAAGCCUGAUCCAGCAAUGCCGCGUGCAGGAUGAAGGCCUUCGGGUUGUAAACUGCUUAUGUACGGAACGAAAAGGCUCUGGUUAAUACCUGGGGCUCAUGACGGUACCGUAAGAAUAAGCACCGGCUAACUACGUGCCAGCCGCCGCGGUAA
rnacentral:rRNA from 1 species